GAGAAGAACGUAGCGAAAUGCGAUAAGUAAUGUGAAUUGCAGAAUUCAGUGAAUCAUCGAAUCUUUGAACGCACAUUGCGCCCCUUGGUAUUCCGGGGGGCAUGCCUGUUCGAGCGUCAUUAUAACCCCUCAAGCUCAGCUUGGUGUUGGGGCCUGCCAACUGGCAGCCCUUAAAAUCAGUGGCGGCGCCAUCUGGCUCUAAGCGUAGUAAUUUCUCUCGCUAUAGGGUCCCGGUGGAUGCUUGCCAACAACCCCCAAUUUUCUAUGGUUGACCUCGGAUCAGGUAGGGAUACCCGCUGAACUUAAGCAUAUCAAUAAGCGGAGGA
rnacentral:misc_RNA from 1 species